UAAGAAAUAAUGCAUUUUUAGUUUUUACCUAUGCCCUACUAAUGUUUCAAACAAGUAAAAAGCACGUUAGACGAAGAAGAACAGAGAAAAAACAAAAUAAGCAGUUUUGUUUCAAAACUUACAACAAUGACGAAAUUGUUCAAAAGAAAUUUUCAUUUAUUUAUAUUAGGUCAGUUUUGUGGUAAAGACUAAGAAGACUUUACACUUGAAGACUACACAACGAAUGGAUCAAAAUAUUUUGAAAUAUUUCAACAUGAACGUGUUUGUGAACCACAUGGACAAAUACAAAUGUUCCAAGAGCCAAAAUGUUUAUAGAAAUGAUUAUUUCCGGUCAAUGCGACUAAAAUGAGCACGUGUCUUAUAGGAAGGGAUCGAAGUGUGACGACGGAUGGCAGCGGCGGCUCGGAAUCCCGUCAUCAGUGUUGGGCCG